AUUGAACGCUGGCGGCAGGCCUAACACAUGCAAGUCGAACGAGUGGCGGACGGGUGAGUAAUGUCUGGGAAACUGCCCGAUGGAGGGGGAUAACUACUGGAAACGGUAGCUAAUACCGCAUACCAUCGGAUGUGCCCCGAUGGGAUUAGCUAGUAGGUGGGGUAACGGCUCACGUAGGCGACGAUCCCUAGCUGGUCUGAGAGGAUGACCGGCCACACGGGAACGGAGACAAGGUCAAGACUCCGAAGGGAGGAAGCAGUAGGGAAGAUUGCACAAUGGGCGCAAGCCUGAUGCAGCCAGGCCGCGUGUAUGAAGAAGGCCUUCGGGGUGUAAAGUACUUUCAGCGAGGAGGCGUUACUCGCAGAAGAAGCACCGGCUAACUCCGUGCCAGCCGCCGCGGUAAUUC
rnacentral:rRNA from 1 species